GGUCAAGGAGCUGGAGGCCUGGGGAGGAGCUGGUGUUUCUGUUCAAGUUUGAGGGUCCUGGAGCUGGAGCCCAGGGGAGGAGCCAGUGCUGCCACUGAUGUCUUAGGGUCGUGGAGCUGAAGAUCCCAGAGGAGCCGGUGCUGCUAUUCUAGCUUGAGUUUCGUGGAGCUGGAGACCCAGGGAGAAGAUGGUGCUGCUGUUCUAAUUUAAGGAUCGUGAAACAGAAGACCCAGAAAGGAGCUGGUGCUGCCGCUGCUCAGAUCUGAGGGUGUUGGAGCUGGAGCCUGGGGGUGGAGCCAUUGCUGCCAUUGAAGUGUGAGAGUCAUUGAGCUGGAAGUCCAGGAAGCAGCUGGUGCUGCUGUUCUAGUUUGAGGGUUGUGGAGUGCAGACCCAGGCAGGAGCAACAUUGCUGUAGUUCGAGGGUCAGAAAGCUGGCGACCCAGGGAGGAGAGGUCUUGUUCUAGUUUGAUUUUCGUGGAGCUGCAGACCCAGGGAGGAGCAAUGUUGUUGUAAUUCGAGGGUCUGGUAGCUGGCA
rnacentral:lncRNA from 1 species